UACGGAGGGUGCGAGCGUUAAUCGGAAUUACUGGGCGUAAAGCGCACGCAGGCGGUUUGUUAAGCUAGAUGUGAAAGCCCCGGGCUCAACCUGGGAUGGUCAUUUAGAACUGGCAGACUAGAGUCUUGGAGAGGGGAGUGGAAUCCCAGGUGUAGCGGUGAAAUGCGUAGAUAUCUGGAGGAACAUCAGUGGCGAAGGCGACUCCCUGGCCAAAGACUGACGCUCAUGUGCGAAAGUGUGGGUAGCGAACAGG
rnacentral:rRNA from 1 species